rnacentral:rRNA from 1 species
GACGAAGGGGGCUAGCGUUGUUCGGAAUUACUGGGCGUAAAGGGCGCGUAGGCGGUUUGUUAAGUCAGGCGUGAAAGCCCUGGGCUCAACCUGGGAGGUGCGCUUGAUACUGGCAAGCUUGAGUGCAGGAGAGGAUGGUGGAAUUCCCAGUGUAGGGGUGAAAUUCGUAGAUAUUGGGAAGAACACCGGUGGCGAAGGCGGCCAUCUGGACUGCAACUGACGCUGAGGCGCGAAAGCGUGGGGAGCAAACAGGAUUAGAUACCCUGGUAGUCCACGCUGUAAACGAUGAGUGCUGGACGUUGGCGGGCUUGCCUGCCGGUGUCGUAGCUAACGCGAUAAGCACUCCGCCUGGGGAGUACGGCCGCAAGGUUAAA